AUUUGCUCCUUUUGUACGUGGCGGGAGAUAUUGGAGGGAAAACCAUUUUCUUACAAACGUAUCUCUUAGAUAUUAGAAAAAUAAAAGACCGAAUUUAAAGAUAAGAUUAUUAGAAACUGGUGGAUUUGGGCCGAAGUAAAAAAUGCUAAUAUUUUUUUUCCCUCCAAUAUCUCCCGCCAUAUACAUAAGGAGCAAAUA
rnacentral:pre_miRNA from 1 species